AUUGAACGCUGGCGGCAGGCUUAACACAUGCAAGUCGAGCGGGGUGAUGGUGCUUGCACUAUCACUUAGCGGCGGACGGGUGAGUAAUGCUUAGGAAUCUGCCUAUUAGUGGGGGACAACAUCUCGAAAGGGAUGCUAAUACCGCAUACGUCCUACGGGAGAAAGCAGGGGAUCACUUGUGACCUUGCGCUAAUAGAUGAGCCUAAGUCGGAUUAGCUAGUUGGUGGGGUAAAGGCCUACCAAGGCGACGAUCUGUAGCGGGUCUGAGAGGAUGAUCCGCCACACUGGGACUGAGGCACGGCCCAGACUCCUACGGGAGGCAGCAGUGGGGAAUAUUGGACAAUGGGGGGAACCCUGAUCCAGCCAUGCCGCGUGUGUGAAGAAGGCCUUAUGGUUGUAAAGCACUUUAAGCGAGGAGGAGGCUCUUUUGGUUAAUACCCAGAAUGAGUGGACGUUACUCGCAGAAUAAGCACCGGCUAACUCUGUGCCAGCCGCCGCGGUAA
rnacentral:rRNA from 1 species